rnacentral:piRNA from 1 species
CUCGUUCCCACGCGAGUACAGGUUGGACAGCA